rnacentral:pre_miRNA from 1 species
AAAGUACUCCCUCCGUCCCAAAAUUCUUGUCUUAGAUUUGUCUAGAUACGGAUGUAUCAAGUCACAUUUUAGUAUUAGAUACAUCCGUAUCUAGACAAAUCUAAGAAAAGAAAUUUGGGACAAAGGGAGUAGUUG